rnacentral:rRNA from 1 species
AACGAACGCUGGCGGCAUGCCCAACACAUGCAAGUCGAACGAGACCUUCGGGUCUAGUGGCGCCCGGGUGCGUAACGCGUGGGAACCUGCCCUUAGGUUCGGAAUAACUCCCCGAAAGGGGUGCUAAUACCGGAUAAUGUCUUCGGCCCAAAGAUUUAUCGCCUUUGGAUGGGCCCGCGUUGGAUUAGCUAGUUGGUAGGGUAAAAGCCUACCAAGGCGACGAUCCAUAGCUGGUCUGAGAGGAUGAUCAGCCACACCGAGACUGAGACACGGCCCAGACUCCUACGGGAGGGAGCAGUGGGGAAUAUUGGACAACGGGCGAAAGCCUGAUCCAGCAAUGCCGCGUGAGUGAUGAAGGCCUUAGGGUUGUAAAGCUCUUUUACCCGGGAUGAUAAUGACAGUACCGGGAGAAUAAGCUCCGGCUAACUCCGUG